rnacentral:rRNA from 1 species
UUUAAUGGAGAGUUUGAUCCUGGCUCAGGACGAACGCUGGCGGCGUGCCUAAUACAUGCAAGUCGAGCGAGGGUCUUCGGACCCUAGCGGCGGACGGGUGAGUAACACGUAGGCAACCUGCCUG